GGAAAGGGCAGGGCACCCCACCGCACGACAUUCCCCUCCCCUCCCCUCCGGAGCUUGAGAGAUAACCAGGGUUUAUUUCUGUCUGUUUUUGCUUAAGCUGUGUUUGCAGGGAGGGAGAGAGAGGACUUAAGAACCUUAACCCUGAGCUAAGGGUGAAGCUAAAAGGGGCCAGCUAGGAAGAAGUCCAGGGAAGAAGCAGCAAUUAACUGAAAUUGCACAGUGUGUGGCUGCUAUGUAUUGGGUCUGUGGACUGGAACCUGGAGUGCCUGGGUUCCUCUGACAGCCGCAGUAGCACUAACCCCUAGCAGAAAAUGGGGCUUAUUUGAGAGCCUGAACAAAGCCUUGAAUUUAAGAGCCUGAACAAAGCUCAGAGCCGGUGCUGAAGACCCUGGCAAGAUCAAUGGGAUUGUUCAUUUACUGGACUCUUGUUUACACUGGAGAAGGUUCACUCUGGACUUUAUGACUUGGCCAGAUAGCCAAGCCACAGAAGACCCAUCAAGAUCAGCUCACAGCCUGCAGGGGGCACCAGAGUCAAGAAAAGGACUGCAGUACCACUAGGAGGCAUUCAAGAGUUUAGCAAAGUCUAAAUCAUUUCCAAACACUAUGAGUGGAAGUUGAGGCGGUUCAGUGGCACCUAGCACCUUGUAGGAAUGAACCCUAGGUGAUUUUUUUCAGACUACAUGAUCAUAGAAUUUUUGCAUGGGUAACUUCAUGCAGACCAUGCCAGAAGAAAGCAGUCUUCAGCCUCAAAACAGAAAGAUAGCC